AGCCAUCUCAGUUCGGAUUGCACUCUGCAACUCGAGUGCAUGAAGUUGGAAUCGCUAGUAAUCGCGGAUCAGCAUGCCGCGGUGAAUACGUUCCCGGGCCUUGUACACACCGCCCGUCACACCAUGGGAGUUGGUUUUACCCGAAGGCGCUGUGCUAACCGCAAGGAGGCAGGCGACCACGGUAGGGUCAGCGACUGGGGUGAAGUCGUAACAAGGUAGCCGUAGGGGAACCUGCGGCUGGAUCACCUCCUUUCUAAGGAAGC
rnacentral:rRNA from 1 species